rnacentral:rRNA from 1 species
UACGUAGGGGGCUAGCGUUGUCCGGAUUUAUUGGGCGUAAAGAGCGUGUAGGCGGCCAGGUAGGUCUGCUGUGAAAACUCGAGGCUCAACCUCGAGACGUCGGCGGAAACCAUCUGGCUAGAGUCCGGAAGAGGAGAGUGGAAUUCCGUGGUGUAGCGGUGAAAUGCGCAGAUAUCAGGAAGAACACCCGUGGCGAAGGCGGCUCUCUGGGACGGUACUGACGCUGAGACGCGAAAGCGUGGGAGCGAACAGG